GUUAAGAGAGAGAGGGAAAGGACAGAGAGAAACAGACACUGAGAGGAAAGAAUGUAAACUCUUAUGCAUCGAAUACAUGUUGGAAGCUGGCAAGACUGCUUUCUCUGGAUUUUUUAAAACAGUAUUCGAUUUGGUUACAAUCUUCUCAGAAGCAGGGGUGUCAAGGAUGGUUGUCCCAAUUGUCAUGAAGCCAAAAGUGGAAAAUGACAUGUGCUGCAGUCUAAGAACUAUUACAGUGAUAUAGCCAGAACAACAGUGAGCCUCCUUAUGAACUACUCCCAGCUAUUACACAGC